rnacentral:rRNA from 1 species
GAUGAACGCUAGCGAUAGGCUUAACACAUGCAAGUCGAGGGGCAGCACGCUUUCGGGUGGUGGCGACCGGCGCACGGGUGAGUAACACGUAUGCAACCUACCUUUUACUUGGGGAUAGCCCGUUGAAAGACGGAUUAAUACCCAAUGAGACAGGGGUACCACAUGGUAAUAUUUGUUAAAGAUUCAUUGGUAAAAGAUGGGCAUGCGCAGGAUUAGGUAGUUGGUAAGGUAACGGCUUACCAAGCCCACGAUCCUUAGGGGAACUGAGAGGUUUAUCCCCCACACUGGUACUGAGACACGGACCAGACUCCUACGGGAGGCAGCAGUGAGGAAUAUUGGUCAAUGGGCGCGAGCCUGAACCAGCCAAGUCGCGUGAAGGAUGAAGGUAUUAUGUAUUGUAAACUUCUUUUAUGGGGGAAUAAAGUGCGGGACGAGUCCUGUUUUGUAUGUACCCCAUGAAUAAGCAUCGGCUAACUCCGUGCCAGCCGCCGCCGUAAAAC